rnacentral:rRNA from 1 species
UACGUAGGCGGAAAAUUAAGUCAGUAGUGAAAUCCUGCAGCUUAACUGUAGAACUGUUAUUGAUACUGGUUUUCUUGAAUAUAGUUGAGGUAAGCGGAAUGUGUAAUGUAGCGGUGAAAUGCUUAGAUAUUACACAGAACACCGAUUGCGAAGGCAGCUUACUAAGCUAUGAUUGACGCUGAGGUACGAAAGCGUGGGGAGCGAACAGGAUUAGAUACCCUGGAAGUCC